rnacentral:rRNA from 1 species
AUUGAACGCUGGCGGCAGGCUUAACACAUGCAAGUCGAGCGGGGGAAGGUAGCUUGCUACCGGACCUAGCGGCGGACGGGUGAGUAAUGCUUAGGAAUCUGCCUAUUAGUGGGGGACAACAUCUCGAAAGGGAUGCUAAUACCGCAUACGUCCUACGGGAGAAAGCAGGGGAUCUUCGGACCUUGCGCUAAUAGAUGAGCCUAAGUCGGAUUAGCUAGUUGGUGGGGUAAGGCCUACCAAGGCGACGAUCUGUAGCGGGUCUGAGAGGAUGAUCCGCCACACUGGGACUGGGACACGGCCCAGACUCCUACGGGAGGCAGCAGUGGGGAAUAUUGGACAAUGGGGGGAACCCUGAUCCAGCCAUGCCGCGUGUGUGAAGAAGGCCCUAUGGUUGUAAAGCACUUUUAGCGAGGAGGAGGCUACUUUAGUUAAUACCUAGAGAUAGUGGACGUUACUCGCAGAAUAAGCACCGGCUAACUCUGUGCCAGCCGCCGCCGUAA